UCCGAAUGGGGAAACCCACUGCUUCGGCAGUAUCCUGCAGUGAAUUCAUAGCUGCUGGAAGCGAACCCGGUGAACUGAAAUAUCUAAGUAACCGGAGGAAAAGAAAUCAACCGAGAUUCCCUAAGUAGUGACGAGCGAACGGGGAGCAGCCCUUAAGCUGGAAUGGCUUUAGAAAAACAAUCUGGAAAGAUUGGCCAUAGAAGGUGAUAGCCCUGUAUUUAAAAGGGCCACUCCAGUGAAGACGAGUAGGGCGGGGCACGUGAAACCCUGUCUGAAUAUGGGGGGACCAUCCUCCAAGGCUAAAUACUCCUGACCGACCGAUAGUGAACCAGUACCGUGAGGGAAAGGCGAAAAGAACCCCGGAGAGGGGAGUGAAAUAGAUCCUGAAACCGUGUGCGUACAAGCAGUAGGAGCUCGCAAGAGUGACUGCGUACCUUUUGUAUAAUGGGUCAGCGACUUACUGUUCGUGGCAAGCUUAACCGUAUAGGGGAGGCGAAGGGAAACCGAGUCUGAUAAGGGCGCAUAGUCGCGGGCAGUAGACCCGAAACCGGGUGAUCUAGUCAUGGCCAGGGUGAAGGUGCCGUAACAGGUACUGGAGGCCCGAACCCACGUCUGUUGCAAAAGACGGGGAUGAGCUGUGAUUAGGAGUGAAAAGCUAAUCGAACCCGGAGAUAGCUGGUUCUCCUCGAAAGCUAUUUAGGUAGCGCCUCGGACGAAUACUACUGGGGGUAGAGCACUGUUAUGGCUAGGGGGUCAUCGCGACUUACCAAACCAUUGCAAACUCCGAAUACCAGUACGUACUAUCCGGGAGACACACGGCGGGUGCUAACGUCCGUCGUGAAAAGGGAAACAACCCAGACCCACAGCUAAGGUCCCAAAUUCACUGCUAAGUGGAAAACGAUGUGGAAAGGCAUAGACAGCCAGGAGGUUGGCUUAGAAGCAGCCACCCUUUAAAGAAAGCGUAAUAGCUCACUGGUCGAGUCGGUCUGCGCGGAAGAUUUAACGGGGCUAAGCAGUGAACCGAAGCUUGGGGUGCGUAAAACUUCGGUUUUAUGCGCGGUAGAGGAGCGUUCCGUAAGCCUGCGAAGGUGGAUUGAGAAGUCCGCUGGAGGUAUCGGAAGUGCGAAUGCUGACAUGAGUAACGAUAAUGCGGGUGAAAAGCCCGCACGCCGAAAGCCCAAGGUUUCCUUGCGCAACGUUAAUCGACGCAGGGUUAGUCGGUCCCUAAGGCGAGGGCGAAAGCCGUAGUCGAUGGGAAGCAGGUUAAUAUUCCUGCACCUCGCGUGAGUGCGAUGGAGGGACGGAGAAGGUUAGGUGUACCGGGCGUUGGUUGUCCCGGGGAAAGGCGGUAGGUUUGGAUCUUUGGCAAAUCCGGGAUCCUUUAAGACCGAGCACCGAGACGAGCCUUUAUGGCGAAGUCACUGAUACCACGCUUCCAGGAAAAGCUCCUAAGCUUCAGCUCACGAAGACCGUACCGUAAACCGACACAGGUGGGUAGGAUGAGAAUUCUCAGGCGCUUGAGAGAACUCGGGUGAAGGAACUAGGCAACAUGGCACCGUAACUUCGGGAGAAGGUGCACCCUUUUUGGUGGCUCAUGCGAGCUAUAGCUGAAGAGGGUCGCAGAAACCAGGCCGCUGCGACUGUUUAUCAAAAACACAGCACUCUGCAAACACGAAAGUGGACGUAUAGGGUGUGACGCCUGCCCGGUGCUGGAAGGUUAAUUGAUGGGGUCAGCCGCAAGGCGAAGCUCUUGAUCGAAGCCCCAGUAAACGGCGGCCGUAACUAUAACGGUCCUAAGGUAGCGAAAUUCCUUGUCGGGUAAGUUCCGACCUGCACGAAUGGCGUAACGACAGCGGCGCUGUCUCCACCCGAGACUCAGUGAAAUUGAAAUCGCUGUGAAGAUGCAGCGUCCCCGUGGCAAGACGGAAAGACCCCGUGAACCUUUACUAUAGCUUUACACUGAACGUUGAGUUCGUCUGUGUAGGAUAGGUGGGAGGCUAUGAAACUGUGGCGCUAGCUGCAGUGGAGCCAUCCUUGAAAUACCACCCUGUCGUGCUUGACGUUCUAACCUAGAUCCGUUAUCCGGAUCAGGGACCGUGUAUGGUGGGUAGUUUGACUGGGGCGGUCUCCUCCUAAAGAGUAACGGAGGAGCACGAAGGUACGCUCAGCGCGGUCGGACAUCGCGCACUGUGUGCAAAGGCAUAAGCGUGCUUGACUGCAAGAUCGACGGAUCAAGCAGGUACGAAAGUAGGUCUUAGUGAUCCGGUGGUUCUGUAUGGAAGGGCCAUCGCUCAACGGAUAAAAGGUACUCCGGGGAUAACAGGCUGAUACCGCCCAAGAGUUCAUAUCGACGGCGGUGUUUGGCACCUCGAUGUCGGCUCAUCACAUCCUGGGGCUGUAGUCGGUCCCAAGGGUAUGGCUGUUCGCCAUUUAAAGUGGUACGCGAGCUGGGUUCAGAACGUCGUGAGACAGUUCGGUCCCUAUCUGCCAUGGGCGUUGGAAGUUUGAGAGGGGCUGCUCCUAGUACGAGAGGACCGGAGUGGACGAACCUCUGGUGUUCCGGUUGUCACGCCAGUGGCAUUGCCGGGUAGCUAUGUUCGGAAGCGAUAACCGCUGAAAGCAUCUAAGCGGGAAGCGCGCCUCAAGAUGAGACUUCCCGGGGCACAAGCCCCCUAAAGGAACCAUAUAGACUAUGUGGUUGAUAGGUCAGGUGUGU
rnacentral:rRNA from 1 species